CUGUUUUUAUGCGAAUGCCCGAAACUACCGAACGGGAGACCACCCCGGGGUGGUCGUGUGUUUCCAAUUAUCUGAGCGAUACAAUGUUGGGAAGGGAAUUAAGUACCUGUAUGUGUGGCCGCCAUUUAGCCUACCGAACACGUGGCGGUGGCCAUCUUACGCACGAACAGCGGUACUUGGUUGUCGAACGCCUGGAACUCAAACCGGGCAUUCGACUAACCAAGCACCGCUAAGACCUCCAGCAUGCUCCGACAGCACGAAUCAAACACACGAACGCCCCGGCGUUCGGUAGAUAGAUUCAUACUAAAUGAGGG